AUACUCUUUUCUUCCUUCAUCGUCAUCACGCACUUUCUCUCUCUAACUCAUUCUCUCUCUCUCUCUCUCUGAAUUUUCUCCUCUCUCUGAUUCCUUUUAUUAAUUGGAGUUUACUCGCUCCUUUUCCUUUCCCUGAAAACAUUUCCUCGUCGUAUUGAUGUCAGAAAAGGGCCGCCCACUUCCAAAAUUGGGUGAAUGGGAUGUCAAUGAUCCAACCUCAGCUGAGGGGUUCACAGUGAUUUUUAAUAAGGCCAGGGAUGAGAAAAAGA